GACGAACGCUGGCGGCGUGCUUAACACAUGCAAGUCGAACGGAAAGGCCCUGCUUUUGUGGGGUGCUCGAGUGGCGAACGGGUGAGUAACACGUGAGUAACCUGCCCUUGACUUUGGGAUAACUUCAGGAAAAUGGGGCUAAUACCGGAUAGGAGCUCCUGCUGCAUGGUGGGGGUUGGAAAGUUUCGGCGGUUGGGGAUGGACUCGCGGCUUAUCAGCUUGUUGGUGGGGUAGUGGAUUACCAAGGCUUUGACGGGUAGCCGGCCUGAGAGGGUGACCGGCCACAUUGGGACUGAGAGACGGCCCAGACUCCUACGGGAGGCAGCAGUGGGGAAUAUUACACAAUGGGCGGAAGCCUGAUGCAGCAACGCCGCGUGCGUGAUGACGGCCUUCUGGUUGUAAACCGCUUUCGCCUGUGACGAAGCGUGAGUGACGGUAAUGGGUAAAGAAGCACCGGCUAACUACGUG
rnacentral:rRNA from 1 species